UAAAAGAUAAGCUAAAUAAGCUAAUGGGUUCAUACCCCGUAAAUGAAAGUCAAACCUCUCUCUUUUAA
rnacentral:tRNA from 1 species